GACGAACGCUGGCGGCGUGCUUAACACAUGCAAGUCGAGCGGUAAGGCCCUUUCGGGGGUACACGAGCGGCGAACGGGUGAGUAACACGUGGGUGACCUGCCCUCAGCUCUGGGAUAAGCCUGGGAAACCGGGUCUAAUACUGGAUAUGACUCCAUGACGCAUGUUGUGGGGUGGAAAGCCUUGUGCGGCUGAGGAUGGGCCCGCGGCCUAUCAGCUUGUUGGUGGGGUGANGGCCUACCAAGGCGACGACGGGUAGCCGGCCUGAGAGGGCGACCGGCCACACUGGGACUGAGACACGGCCCAGACUCCUACGGGAGGCAGCAGUGGGGAAUCUUGGACAAUGGGCGCAAGCCUGAUCCAGCCAUGCCGCGUGGGUGAAGAAGGCCU
rnacentral:rRNA from 1 species